GGUGUUCUGACUAGGAGAGGCUUUGCUAGCUGGACAGACAAUCUGGGCAGUAUUUUGAAAAGAGAAUGAAAAAGAAAUUUUUAAUGUGGAAACAACAGAGCCAAAGGUAUAAAAGGACAUAGGGUGCUUGGGGGAGGCAGUAGAUUGUAUGGUGGCCUCCCAAAAGACAGGUCCACCUGGAAUCUGUGAAGGUGACUUUAUUUGGAAAAAAGGUCUUUGCAGCUGUAAUCGAGUUAAGGAUCUUGAGAUGAGAGCAUCCUGGAUUAGAGUGGGUCCUAAGUCCUUAGAAGAGAAGACAGACAGGAAGAAGGCCAUGUGAAGACAGCGGCAGAGUUUGGAGUGAUGUGCCUUCCAGCCAAGGAACACCAGGAUUGCCUGCAGCCACCAGAAGCUGGAAGAAGCAGUGAAGGAUUCUCUCUAGACCCUUCAGACGGAACAGCUGCUGACACCUCAAUUUCAGAAUUCUGGCCUCCAGAACUACACACAAGUGGAGAAGAUAAAUAGUAAUUUGGAACCAAAACUCAGGACGUCCCAGGAGAGGCUAGAUUAGGAAUUCUUUGAUUUGGGAUCACGAAAAUGAAGUAUCCAUAUUUUAACAGAAUGAUUAGUGGCAGAGGAAUCAUCUAAGAAAACUGAGAAGACUCUGCCAGAGUGAUGGGAAGAAAACUAGAUGAGAAAGCACCAUUCUGGAAGACAUGCUCCCAUGAACCAUGGAGAGAAGAGGAGAGGGAAGAAGUUAUUUGUGAUGUCAUUUGCCUGUGUCAUGGCCUGCCUUCCCUAGAUAUUGUCCUAAUGUGAGCAUCACACCUAAGGUACUGAAGUAGAGUUCUGGCUGUUCCUUACGGACAUCUCUGGUGAAUAAUCUGAGAAGGCCUCACUUAUAAUUUGGCUUGAAGAAAACACGAGAGCAAGUCAUGCAAUGUUCAAGUAAGAGUGCAGCAGUCAGAAGAAAAAGCUAUGCAAGGGCCCUAAGGUUGAAAGUGUUCUUAGUGUCUUUGAGAAACAUCAAGGAAUGUGCAAAAGGCAGAAUGAUAGAAGAUGAGAUCAGAGAGGUGAGGGGUGGGGAGGGGUGUCACAUGUGUCCCUGGAGGUCAUUGUAGGGCUUUUGCCUUUCAUUCUGAAUGAAGUAGGAAGCCUUUGUAGUGUCUUGAACAGAGACGUGAUAUGAUCUGGUUUAUGAUUUAAAAGGCCUAGUUGGGUGCAUUCAGGACUGGCUACAGUUUGAAGGACCUGGUGAGAAAUGAAAGUGUGAGGCUAUUUGUUCAAAAAUUAUCAAGAAAUUCAAGAUGGCAACAGCACAGCAUUAAACCGAGCACUGGGUCUUUGUGAGUGAGGGACUCUGUGUGACUGCAUGGGUCACAUGCCCAUGAUGCUGGCCCUGGAUGCAUUGAGUAUAGGCUGCCAGGAGUGAAGGGCAGAGGCAGUGAGACCUAUAAAAAGUCAAUGCAAAUAUCCAGUGGUGGGUGAAAGUAUAGACAUAGCAGCGGAAGUGGUGAGGAGGAGGCACACACUGUGGUUGUUGUUUUUAUAUAUUUUUUGAAGGUAGAGCUGAUGGCAUUUGCUAAUGGAUUGGUUGAAAUUUAUUGAGAUAAAAAAGAGGAGGAGCAGGUCUUUAGUGUAAAUCAGAAGUUCAUGGUUGGACUUUAAUAAAUGUGAAGUCAUUUGAAAGCAAGUGGGAGGAUGACAUUUAAACAGUUGGAUGUAUGAUUCUGGAAUUGAGGAAAGAGAUCCAGAUUGUAGAUCCAAAUUUGGGAGUCUCAUCUCCAUAAAGAAAGCAUUUAAGAUCACAAAAGCAGAUAAGAUGGGGCAGAUAGGAGAAAAAUGGGGAAAGAAGAAAAGAGAAGGUAGGGAACAGAUAUAUAAAGAGAAGAACAAAGUUAGAGGAUAAGACACUCUACUUAGAGAUCAGAGACAUUGGGAGGAACAAACAAAAGAGAACUAGAACUGUGAAUGAGGAGGGAUGAUCCAGAGGCCACGUGAGAAAAAUGUGUCCAGAAGAAAGUGUUAAUCAUGUCAUGUGGCCCAGCAGUUGAGGACUGAGGAUCAACCAUUGAAUUUAGCUUCAUAAAGGUUGUAUGUGUUCUUGGUAGGAACUGCUUUGGUUUAACAGUGAAAAUAAAAACUUCUCUGAAGUGCAAACAAUUUAGAAUGAAGGGAGAGGUAAUGAAAGAUAAAAAACACAUACAACUCUCAAAGAGUUUUGAAGAAAGGGAAACAGACGAAUGAGUGGUGACUGGAGGGAAAAAUGGGGUCAUGUCAUCAUUUUUUGUUUUGUUUUUGAAUUGUGAGAAAUAAAAAUGUUAUUAUUUAGAGGGAAUUAUGUAGUAUAGAAGGAAAAUUUGAUGAUGGAGAAACAAAAGGGACAAUUGCUAGAGUGAUGUCCUGAAUAAUAGAGAAAGGAUGGGGUACAGGGCCCAAGGGAAGUAGAUGGCUUUGCAUAGAAGCACAGACAGUUCGUUUAUAUUAAUGGGGUUGUGGGGAGAGAGCAGGGUUUUGGGUCCAGAUGUAGGAAGGAGGCAGAUGUUAUGUUGGGAGGGUAUAGGAAUUCUAUUCGGAUUAAUUCUCAUUUCCACUUAAUUCUCAUUUACAGGGGAAGUAAAUUCAACAACAGAAAUUGAGGAUGAGGAACAUGGUGUUGCAGUUCAAACCAGUUCCAGCCAAAAUGGACUCUAGUCACAAACAAAUAGUAAUAACAAUCCAAACUUGUGGCUGAAUAGAGUUCUGAAGUUUUGAGAAAGAGCCAAGAGAAAAUUCAGUGUGAAGAUGAUGGAGUGACACAAUAGAAGGAACCUGAAUCACUGAAUCAUCACUUGGAAGAAAGCAGCCCAGACUAGUUACCCAACUCCCAUCAGACAGUGACCAGAGUGAGAAAUAAGCCUUGUGUAUGGUG
rnacentral:lncRNA from 1 species